rnacentral:snRNA from 1 species
GUGCUUGCUUUGGCAGCACAUAUACUAAAAUUGGAAUGCUAUCGAGAAGAUUAUCACGACCCCUACACAAGGAUGACAUGCAAAUUUGUGAAGCAUUCAAUUAUUUU